GCUGAGCACUCCUACGGGAGGCAGCAGUGGGGAAUAUUGCACAAUGGGGCGCAAGCCUGAUGCAGCCAUGCCGCGUGUAUGAAGAAGGCCUUCGGGUUGUAAAGUACUUUCAGCAGUGAGGAAGGUGGGUAUGUUAAUAGCAUAUUCAUUUGACGUUAGCUGCAGAAGAAGCACCGGCUAACUCCGUGCCAGCAGCCGCGGUAAUACGGAGGGUGCGAGCGUUAAUCGGAAUUACUGGGCGUAAAGCGCAUGCAGGUGGUUUGUUAAGUCAGAUGUGAAAGCCCGGGGCUCAACCUCGGAAUUGCAUUUGAAACUGGCAAACUAGAGUACUGUAGAGGGGGUAGAAUUUCAGGUGUAGCGGUGAAAUGCGUAGAGAUCUGAAGGAAUACCGGUGGCGAAGGCGGCCCCCUGGACAGAUACUGACACUCAGAUGCGAAAGCGUGGGGAGCAAACAGGAUUAGAUACCCUGGUAG
rnacentral:rRNA from 1 species